AAUUCGAUUUUGGAGGGCAAGUCUGGUGCCAGCAGCCGCGGUAAUUCCAGCUCCAAUAGCGUAUAUUAAAGUUGUUGCAGUUAAAAAGCUCGUAGUUGAAUUUCGGGACCAAUUUGUUGGUCGUGCUUCGGUACGUACUGGUAUUAUUGGUUUCUCCCUUCUGAAGAACCUCGAUGUCAUUAAUUUGGUGUCGUGGGGAACCAGGACUUUUACCUUGAAAAAAUUAGAGUGUUCAAAGCAGGCCUUUGCUCGAAUACAGUAGCAUGGAAUAAUAGAAUAGGACAUCGGUUCUAUUUUGUUGGUUUCUAGGACCGCCGUAAUGAUUAAUAGGGAUAGUCGGGGGCGUCAGUAUUCGGCUGUCAGAGGUGAAAUUCUUGGAUUUAUUGAAGACGAACUACUGCGAAAGCAUUCGCCAAGGAUGUUUUCAUUAAUCAAGAACGAAAGUUAGGGGAUCGAAGACGAUCAGAUACCGUCGUAGUCUUAACCAUAAACUAUGCCGACUAGGGAUCGGAUGAUGCUAAUUUUUUAAUGACUCAUUCGGCGCCUUACGGGAAACAAUCA
rnacentral:rRNA from 1 species